AUUGAACGCUGGCGGUAUGCUUAACACAUGCAAGUCGAACGGUAGCAGGCCUUCGGGCGCUGACGAGUGGCGGACGGGUGAGUAACGCGUAUGCAACCUACCCUGUACAGGGGGAUAACCCGGAGAAAUUCGGACUAAUAUCCCAUAAUAUUAUUGGAAGGCAUCUUUUGAUAAUUAAAGUUCCGGCGGUACGGGAUGGGCAUGCGUAACAUUAGCUGGUUGGUAAGGUAACGGCUUACCAAGGCUUUGAUGUUUAGGGGUCCUGAGAGGGUGGUCCCCCACACUGGUACUGAGACACGGACCAGACUCCUACGGGUGGCUG
rnacentral:rRNA from 1 species